AACUCACAUCCAUAAGCGCCAGGGAACUACGAGCCACGCUUAAAACCCAAAGGAUUUGACGGUGUCCCACCCCCCUAGAGGAGCCUGUUCUAUAAUCGAUGAUCCCCGCUAUACCCCACCACCCCUUGCUCGUCAGUCUGUAUACCUCCGUCGAAAGCUUACCAUGUGAACGUCUAUAGUAAGUUCAAUGACCCAUGCCAAUGCGUCAACACGUCAGGUCAAGGUGCAGCUUAAGAGGUGGAAAGUGAUGGGCUACAAUUUCUAAUCUAGAACAAACGAAAGGCCAUGUGAAACCGUGGCCACGAAGGCGGAUUUAGUAGUAAAAAGAAAAUAGAGUGUUCUUUUUAACUCGGCUCUGGGACGCGUACACACCGCCCGUCAC
rnacentral:rRNA from 1 species